rnacentral:tRNA from 1 species
GCCGCUUUAGCUCAUCCGGUAGAGCACAUCAUUCGUAAUGAUGGGGUGGCCCGUUCGAGUCGGGCAAGCGGCACCA